GAUGAACGCUAGCUACAGGCUUAACACAUGCAAGUCGAGGGGAAACGACAUCGAAAGCUUGCUUUUGGUGGGCGUCGACCGGCGCACGGGUGAGUAACGCGUAUCCAACCUGCCCACCACUUGGGGAUAACCUUGCGAAAGUAAGACUAAUACCCAAUGAUAUCCCACGAAGGCAUCCGAAUGGGAUUAAAGAUUUAUCGGUGAUGGAUGGGGAUGCGUCUGAUUAGCUUGUUGGCGGGGUAAACGGCCCACCAAGGCAACGAUCAGUAGGGGUUCUGAGAGGAAGGUCCCCACAUUGGAACUGAGACACGGUCCAAACUACCUACGGGAGGCAGCAGUGAGGAAUA
rnacentral:rRNA from 1 species